rnacentral:lncRNA from 1 species
UCAUCGACGUCGUCGUCCUCCUCGCCAGGCACGAUAUCCGGGAAAUCGUAGUAGAUGAAGGAGCUCGCCGGCGGCGGGGCGCGUCCGAAGGAGACGCGCAGGUGCUGGCCUGUGAAGGUGCGGGAGUAUGCAACGGUCUUGGCGUCAGCAACGAAUGAAUCGUCCAUUCGGAUGCCAUACCUGUUCAGCAUCACCCAGCCUGGGUCUUCGGUGGCGGCCGGCGGCGAAUGUGAAUCAUGGACGUGCGACGCCUGACGGCGGCCGCGGCUUGGGACGCGGUGGAUCGACCGUAGGCCAUUAAUGGAGGGUCGGCUGAUGAGGAUGCGCCCGUCGAAGCAAG